AUUGAACGCUGGCGGCAGGCCUAACACAUGCAAGUCGAGCGGAGCGGCGGACGGGUGAGUAAUGCCUAGGACUCUGCAUGGUAGUGGGGGAUAACGUCCGGAAACGGGAGCUAAUACCGCAUACUAUCAGAUGAGCCGAGGUCGGCGUAGCGAGUUGGUGGGGUAAAGGCCUACCAAGGCGACGAUCCGGAACUGGUCUGAGAGGAUGAUCAGUCACACGGGAACAGAGACACGGUCCUAACUCCGACGGGAGGCAGCAGGGGGGAAUAUGGGACAAUGGGCGAAAGCCUGAUCCAGCCAUGCCGCGUGUGUGAAGAAGGUCUUCGGAGUGUAAAGCACGUUAAGUUGGUAGGCGUUACCAACAGAAUAAGCACCGGCUAACUUCGUGCCAGCAGCCGCGGUAAUUC
rnacentral:rRNA from 1 species